AGGAUGAACGCUAGCUACAGGCUUAACACAUGCAAGUCGCAGGGUAACAUGAGGAAAGCUUGCUUUCCUUGAUGACGACUGGCGCACGGGUGAGUAACGCGUAUCCAACCUUCCCAUAACUACGGGAUAACCCGUUGAAAGACGGCCUAAUACCGUAUGAUAUCGUUUGCUGACAUCAAAUAACGAUUAAAGGUUUAGCGGUUAUGGAUGGGGAUGCGUCUGAUUAGCUUGUUGGCGGGGUAACGGCCCACCAAGGCUACGAUCAGUAGGGGUUCUGAGAGGAAGGUCCCCCACAUUGGAACUGAGACACGGUCCAAACUCCUACGGGAGGCAGCAGUGAGGAAUAUUGGUCAAUGGGCGAGAGCCUGAACCAGCCAAGUAGCGUGCAGGAUGACGGCCCUAUGGGUUGUAAACUGCUUUUAUGUGGGGAUAAAGUGCGUGACGUGUCAUGCAUUGCAGGUACCACAUGAAUAAGGACCGGCUAAUUCCGUGCCAGCAGCCGCGGUAAUACGGAAGGUCCGGGCGUUAUCCGGAUUUAUUGGGUUUAAAGGGAGUGUAGGCUGUUAGAUAAGCGUGUUGUGAAAUAUUCUAGCUUAACUAGAAUCGUGCAGCGCGAACUGUUUAACUUGAGUUCGUUCAACGUAGGCGGAAUUUAUGGUGUAGCGGUGAAAUGCUUAGAUAUCAUAAAGAACUCCGAUUGCGAAGGCAGCUUACGGGGUCGUAACUGACGCUAAGGCUCGAAGGUGCGGGUAUCGAACAGGAUUAGAUACCCUGGUAGUCCGCACAGUAAACUAUGGAUGCCCGCUUUUGGUAUUAAAUAUAUCAGAGGCUAAGUGAAAACGUUAAGCAUCCCACCUGGGGAGUACGCCGGCAACGGUGAAACUCAAAGGAAUUGACGGGGGCCCGCACAAGC
rnacentral:rRNA from 1 species